rnacentral:rRNA from 1 species
AAAGAAACUAACCAGGAUUCCGCUAGUAACGGCGAGUGAAACCGGAAUAGCCCAACUUGAAAAUCUUCCUUUGAAGAAUUGUAGUCUAUAGAAGUUCCCUCUACGGCAGCCGGGACCUAAGUCUGCUGGAAGGCAGCGUCCGAGAGGGUAAUAACCCCGUCGGUCCUAGGUGUUUGUCCGUUCCACGAGGUGCUUUCGAAGAGUCGCAUUGUUUGGGAAUGCAGUGCAAAAUGGGAGGUAAAUCCCUUCUAAGGCUAAAUACUGACGAGAGACCGAUAGCGAACAAGUACCGUGAGG